UACGUAGGGUGCGAGCGUUGUCCGGAUUUAUUGGGCGUAAAGAGCUCGUAGGCGGUUUGUCGCGUCGGCCGUGAAAUCUCCACGCUUACCGUGGAGCUUGCAGUCGAUACGGGCAGGCUAGAGUUCGGCAGGGGAGACUGGAAUUCCUGGUGUAGCGGUGAAAUGCGCAGAUAUCAGGAGGAACACCGGUGGCGAAGGCGGGUCUCUGGGCCGAUACUGACACUGAGGAGCGAAAGCGUGGGGAGCGAACAGG
rnacentral:rRNA from 1 species